UUUUUAAACAUGGUUUUUUGUUUAUAUAAAAAAUUCUGGCCUGCUCAGUGAAUUUUAAAUAGCUGCAGUAUUUUGACUGUACAAAGGUAGCAUAAUCACUUGUCUUUUAAUUGAGGUCUGGAAUGAAUGGUUUGAUGAGAGAUAUACUUUAUUUAUUUUUUAAAAAAAAUUUAAUUUUUAAGUUAAAAAGCUUGGAAAUUUUUUUAUAGGACGAGAAGACCCUAUAGAGCUUUAUUUAUUUAUUUUUAUAUUUUUUUGGAUUAUAUAUUUUUAAUAUGAUUAUAUAAAUUUUGUUGGGGUGAUAAAAAAAAUAUUAUAACUUUUUUUAAUUUUUACAUUAAUUUAUGUAUAUUUGAUCCUUUAUUUUGGAAAAAAGAAUAAGCUACCUUAGGGAUAACAGCGUUAUUAUUUCGGAGAGUUCUUAUUGAUGAAAUAGUUUGCGACCUCGAUGUUGGAUUAAAAUAAGAUAUAGAAGUAGAAUGUUAUAUUCUUGGUCUGUUCGACCUUUAAAUUUUUACAUGAUC
rnacentral:rRNA from 1 species